UUUUUUAGUAAAAGAGCAUGGGACUUGUUUUUCGAGGAAAAUUUCGUAUUUUCUAGUCAUUACAUGUACUGAUUUACUAUGGGACAAUCUUAAUUUGUCUAUCAUUUCAUGUUGUUUCAAGUCGUUUCAAGAGAUUGUUUCAAGAUGUUAUUUCAAGAGAUUGUUAGGGGAAACGCAUUGACAAAUUCCAAUAAACUUUAAAAACUGUUUAAACGUAUUCUAGUCAGUACACACUUAACUUCUCACAUGAGGAAUAACAAAAACUUCAGGUUGAACUGGGUUUGUUUGUUUUAUUUAACGCCUUUUUCAGCAGUAUUUCAGUCAUAUAGGCGGGUAGUUUCCUAACCAUCGUUCCUGGAGAGUUACACCAGUACUAGACUACCUUCCUCCGCGCUAAACUACCAAAGCAUCUCCCGGGGAUCGAACCCACGCCAGAGAGGUAACUGGAUUAGAAGUCAUCGACUCUAACCCCUCGACCACGGAGGCGGUC